GACGAACGCUGGCGGCGUGCUUAACACAUGCAAGUCGAACGGUAAGGCCCUUCGGGGUACACGAGUGGCGAACGGGUGAGUAACACGUGGGUGAUCUGCCCUGCACUUCGGGAUAAGCCUGGGAAACUGGGUCUAAUACCGGAUAGGACCACUGCCUGCAUGGGCGGUGGUGGAAAGCUUUUGCGGUGUGGGAUGGGCCCGCGGCCUAUCAGCUUGUUGGUGGGGUGAUGGCUUACCAAGGCGACGACGGGUAGCCGGCCUGAGAGGGUGACCGGCCACACUGGGACUGAGAUACGGCCCAGACUCCUACGGGAGGCAGCAGUGGGGAAUAUUGCACAAUGGGCGCAAGCCUGAUGCAGCAACGCCGCGUGAGGGAUGACGGCCUUCGGGUUGUAAACCUCUUUUAGCAGGGAAGAAGCGAAAGUGACGGUACCUGCAGAAAAAGCACCGGCUAACUACGUGCCAGCCGCCGCCGUAA
rnacentral:rRNA from 1 species